rnacentral:rRNA from 1 species
UACGUAGGUAGCGAGCGUUGUUCGGAAUUACUGGGCGUAAAGAGUGUGUAGGCGGUGCUCUAAGUUCGGUGUGAAAUCUCCUGGCUCAACUGGGAGGGUGCGCCGGAAACUGGAGUGCUUGAGCGUGGGAGAGGAAAGCGGAAUUCCUGGUGUAGCGGUGAAAUGCGUAGAUAUCAGGAGGAACACCUGUGGUGUAGACGGCUUUCUGGACCAUAGCUGACGCUGAGACACGAAAGCGUGGGGAGCAAACAGG